GCUGUCCGCCAGUGUAAAUAACUGGUGAAGAAAGGGCCGGGCAAGACCGGUGCCAGCCGCCGCGGUAAUACCGGCGGCUCGAGUGGUGGCCACUAUUACUGGGCUUAAAGCGUCCGUAGCUGGAUUGUUAAGUCUCUUGGGAAAUCCACCGGCUCAACCGAUGGGCGUUCAGGAGAAACUGGCAAUCUAGGGACCGGGAGAGGUGAGAGGUACUCCAGGGGUAGGAGUGAAAUCCUGUAAUCCUUGGGGGACCACCUGUGGCGAAGGCGUCUCACUAGAACGGCUCCGACAGUGAGGGACGAAAGCUGGGGGAGCAAACCGGAUUAGAUACCCGGGUAGUCCCAGCUGUAAACGAUGCGCGUUAGGUGUAUCGGUGACCACGAGUCAUCGAGGUGCCGAAGGGAAACCGUGAAACGUGCCGC
rnacentral:rRNA from 1 species